GUAUCUGCAGACCAAAUAUUCCAUUUAUACAUCGACGAUAAGAAGCAGCUUAUACGCAACAGCGGGCAUCGCCAUUAUCGCUGUCUUGCACUCUGUGACUGUCGACAGUCGAUCCGCAGCAUCGAAAGAAAAUGGUACAUCCGAGCUCGAUUCCAGAGACAAGCGUAUCCCAUGCAAUGAAACACCACGUACGAUACAGCCAUGAAAGAAAUGUCUGUCCAGUAAUUAUCAGCGUCAAAAUCGUACCUGUCCAAAACCUCCGACCCAUCCGUCAUGCAGGGUAGUUCCGGAUCUUCAACUUCACAAGCUGAAAGGAAUUACGAAGAAGAAUUACUGCAGCCGAUAAUAGAAGACUUACAAUAUUCAACUGACGGAGAAUCGUCACUUCCUUGGUCAGCCUUAUCUUCGAAAACAUAUGCAGUCACGCAUUAAGAAUAUGUUAUAUUUUCAUUUGACUACAAAUAUGACAUCUGCUCGAUUUACUUA
rnacentral:lncRNA from 1 species